UUAGUCCUUGGAAUGUAUUCCUAAAACUCAAGGAUUUUCGAAAUGCAGGUUCUUGAAAAUUCUCAAUCUUUGAACAGAGUGUUCAUAAAACGAAGUCCUUAAGAAACCCACGAUGUUUGACAAGGGGGUUUUUGAAGAAAUAUUCAUUAAAACAGUCAUUAUUUGUGACCAGAAUUCCUUUAAAUGUUUUUUUAAAAAAAACAAA